CCUACGGGAGGCAGCAGUGAGGAAUAUUGGUCAAUGGCCGGAAGGCUGAACCAGCCAAGCCGCGUGAGGGAUGACUGCCCUAUGGGUUGUAAACUUCUUUUAUAUGGGAAUAAAAUGUUCCACGUGUGGGAUUUUGUAUGUACCUUAUGAAUAAGGAUCGGCUAACUCCGUGCCAGCAGCCGCGGUAAUACGGAGGAUCCGAGCGUUAUCCGGAUUUAUUGGGUUUAAAGGGAGCGUAGGUGGAUUGUUAAGUCAGUUGUGAAAGUUUGAGGCUCAACCGUAGAAUUGCAGUUGAAACUGGCAGUCUUGAGUACAGUAGAGGUGGGCGGAAUUCGUGGUGUAGCGGUGAAAUGCUUAGAUAUCACGAAGAACACCGAUUGCGAAGGCAGCUCACUGGACUGCAACUGACACUGAGGCUCGAAAGUGUGGGUAGCAAACAGGAUUAGAUACCCGAGUAGUC
rnacentral:rRNA from 1 species